rnacentral:rRNA from 1 species
CCUACGGGAGGCAGCAGUAGGGAAUCUUCCGCAAUGGACGCAAGUCUGACGGAGCAACGCCGCGUGAGUGACGAAGGUUUUUCGGAUCGUAAAACUCUGUUGUGAGGGAAGAACACGUACCAACUAACUAUUGGUACCUUGACGGUACCUCACCAGAAAGCCACGGCUAACUACGUGCCAGCAGCCGCGGUAAUACGUAGGUGGCAAGCGUUGUCCGGAAUUAUUGGGCGUAAAGCGCGCGCAGGCGGUUCCUUAAGUCUGAUGUGAAAGCCCACGGCUCAACCGUGGAGGGUCAUUGGAAACUGGGGAACUUGAGUGCAGAAGAGGAAAGUGGAAUUCCACGUGUAGCGGUGAAAUGCGUAGAGAUGUGGAGGAACACCAGUGGCGAAGGCGACUUUCUGGUCUGUAACUGACGCUGAGGCGCGAAAGCGUGGGGAGCAAACAGGAUUAGAUACCCUGGUAGUCCACGCCGUAAACGAUGAGUGCUAAGUGUUAGGGGGUUUCCGCCCCUUAGUGCUGCAGCUAACGCAUUAAGCACUCCGCCUGGGGAGUACGGCCGCAAGGCUGAAACUUCAAAUGAAUUGACGG